rnacentral:rRNA from 1 species
CAGCAGCCGCGGGAACACGUAGGUGGCAAGCGUUGUCCGGAAUUAUUGGGCGUAAAGCGCGCGCAGGCGGAUCGGUCAGUCUGUCUUAAAAGUUCGGGGCUUAACCCCGUGAUGGGAUGGAAACUGCCAAUCUAGAGUAUCGGAGAGGAAAGCGGAAUUCCCAGUGUAGCGGUGAAAUGCGUAGAUAUUGGGAGGAACACCAGUGGCGAAGGCGGCUUUCUGGACUGCAACUGACGCUGAGGCUCGAAAGCCAGGGGAGCGAACGGGAUUAGAUACCCGAGUAGUCCCUGUCUCUUAUACC